GACGAACGCUGGCGGCGUGCCUAAUACAUGCCAGUAGAACGCUGAAGGCGGAGCUUGCUCUUCUGGAUGAGUUGCGAACGGGUGAGUAACGCGUAGGUAACCUGCCUGGUAGCGGGGGAUAACUAUUGGAAACGAUAGCUAAUACCGCAUAAGAGUAGAUGUUGCAUGACAUUUACUUAAAAGGUGCAAUUGCAUCACUACCAGAUGGACCUGCGUUGUAUUAGCUAGUUGGUGGGGUAACGGCUUACCAAGGCGACGAUACAUAGCCGAACUGAGAGGGGGAGUGGCCGAGCUGGGAGGGGGACACGCCCCAGAGUGCUUCGGGAGGGAGCAGUAGGGAAUCUUGGGCAAUGGACGGAAGUCUGACCGAGCAACGCCGCGUGAGUGAAGAAGGAUUUCGGGUCGUGAAGCUCGGUUGUCAGGUAGGAACGAGUGUGCGCGUGGAAAGUUCACACUGUGACGGUAUCUGACCAAGAAGCGACGGCUAACUACGUG
rnacentral:rRNA from 1 species